GACGAACGCUGGCGGCGUGCUUAACACAUGCAAGUCGAACGAUGAAGCUGGAGCUUGCUCCGGUGGAUUAGUGGCGAACGGGUGAGUAACACGUGAGUAAUCUGCCCUUGACUCUGGGAUAACUGCGGGAAACUGUAGCUAAUACCGGAUACGACACCUUCGGGCAUCCGAUGGGUGUGGAAAGAAUUUCGGUCAAGGAUGAACUCGCGGCCUAUCAGCUAGUUGGUGAGGUAAUGGCUCACCAAGGCGACGACGGGUAGCCGGCCUGAGAGGGUGACCGGCCACACUGGGACUGAGACACGGCCCAGACUCCUACGGGAGGCAGCAGUGGGGAAUAUUGCACAAUGGGCGAAAGCCUGAUGCAGCAACGCCGCGUGAGGGAUGAAGGCCUUCGGGUUGUAAACCCCUUUUAGUUGGGAAGAAGCGAAAGUGACGGUACCAACAGAAAAAGCACCGGCUAACUUCGUGCCAGCAGCCGCCGUAA
rnacentral:rRNA from 1 species